GAGCGGGGAGCAAGGAGGAGGGAGGCAAAGUACAUUUUGUGGGUAGAAACCUGAGCCUUAAUCAGGUUAUAGGGAGGGAGGAGUCAGAUACUGGCUGGGUCAAUGAGACUGGACACUGUCAGAUGAGCACCGAGGAGCCAGGUGAAGCCACUCCAGCAUCCUCUCAGCAGCUGUAAACCCAGUGAUGCCAGGCAUCUCCAGCUCUCAGCCAACC